rnacentral:rRNA from 1 species
AUGAUGGAUACCGCGGCGCACGUUCUCGUGUUCCCUUGGCCACGGCAGGGGCACAUCAACCCCAUUCUCCAUUUCGCCACCACCCUCGUCGACGCCGGCGUCCAAGUCAGCUUCCUCCACACCGAGCGCAACCUCCGCCGUCUUGCCCAGGCGCCUCUGCCCGGCCUCCGCUUGCUUUCUAUUCCCGACGGCCUCCCCGACGACCAACCCUGCAGCUUCUUGGAUCUCAUGGAGUCCAUGUGCACGACCGGCAGCGCCGCGUACCGUGCCCUGCUCUUGUCGCUUCUCUCUGCCGUUGAUGCGCCGGUGACAUGCGUUGUCGCCGAUGGCACCAUGCCGUUCGCCUUCGACAUCGCCGAGGAGCUCGGCAUCCCGGCGCUCGCCUUCGCCCCGUACAGCGCGUGCAGCUACCUGGCGCUCCUGUCCAUGCCCAAGCUCCUCGAGCUCGGCGACACCGCCUUCCCUGCGGACGACCCGGUGCGUGGCGUUCCGGGGAUGGAGGGCUUCCUCCGUCGACGUGACCUUCCUCGUGGUCUCUCCUGCGCUGAAAAAGGCGACGGAGACCCCUUGGUGCUAAAGCUUGCCGAGGUCACCGCUCGUAGCUGCAAGGCACGUGCGCUCAUAAUCAACACCGCUGCGUCCAUGGAGGGGGCAGCACUCGCUCACAUCGCGUCGUGCACAUGCGAGGUCUUCGCCGUUGGCCCACUGCACGCCAGGUCGAGGAUCGCCGCAAGCGCGAGCCUGUGGCGGGAGGACGACGGAUGCAUGGCGUGGCUGGACGGCCACGAGGACCGAUCCGUCGUGUACGUGAGCCUGGGGAGCCUCGCCGUGAUCACGCAUGAGCAGUUCACUGAAUUCCUCACCGGCCUGGCAGCCACCGGGUACGCCUUCCUCUGGGUGCUCCGGCCGGGCAUGGUCCAGAUGACCAGCUCCGCGCUCCUCGGAGAAACCGUCGAGGCAGUGGGAGGCGGCAGGGGGCGCGUCGUCGAGUGGGCUCCUCAGCGGGACGUGUUGCGUCAUCGGGCGGUGGGUUGCUUCCUGACACACGCCGGAUGGAACUCGACGCUGGAGUGCGCCGUCGAGGGCGUGCCGAUGGUGUGCUGGCCCUUCUUCGCCGACCAGCAGACCAACAGCCGCUUCGUGGACGCCGUGUGGAGGACGGGGCUGGAUAUGAAGGACGUCUGCGACAGAGGCGUCGUGGAGAGGACGGUGAGGGAGGUCAUGAUUUCCGACGAGAUCAAGGAGGCGGCCCAAGCCAUGGCGCAACAGUUGAGGCUGGAUGUCGCGGAGGUGGGGUCGUCGUCGUUCGAGUUCGAGCGGCUCGUCCGCUUCAUCAGGGAGCUCAACAUCAGUUCCUCGAUCUCUGAUGAAGCCCAGAAAGAAUGA